UGACUAUGGUAGGCUUUCCCUAUACAGGGACAAAUGCUAUUUUUUUCACUUGUCACAGAUCAAAUUAAGACCAACAGUCCCUCCGCAGGGCCAUCCCAUCACACCAUUUACGUCUACUGAAUUUGCAGAAGCCUUCCAAGUUCAGCGGCAUCUACAACUUAAAAAUUCUCGUAUUGACGACAUUACUCGUCACUAUGGACAUGGACAAGAUCAAUAGGAAGCCUGUGGAGUUUGUAAACUGGAACCAUCCAUACGCAACGCCAAUUCUUUUGGACGGUGUGCUACUUGGCUUUGAGAGGGGAGUGAUGGAUGGAGAUCCAUUGCAAUAGCAAAAAUAUAAGAUGUGUGAAGAUCCCCAUGGAAGUAGAAAAGUACGUUUAACAAUGAUUGAAAUGCAAUCUGUACUAUGUAGCGCUUUCUGGGUCUUGUUACAAUAACAAAAAUAUCAGAUAUGUGAAGAUCGGCAUGGAAGUAGAAAAAUACUUUUGACAAUGAGUUGAAAUGCAAUGUGUAUGUAGCAUUUAUUGAUUUCUGAAGAAUUCAGAAGAUUGUAGGGUGUUAGAACUUGUGACACAAACAGAUUCAGGGGGCAUUGAUGGAUCUAAUUGAAAAUCAGUACCAAGCAUUCUAACAAAAUGAUCUUAAAUUUCUUUUUUAUGGGAAACUUGGCAAAUGUAGAUAAAUGAUUCAGGAUAUUUCUUUGAUGGAUUUGUGAUAUUGAUAGUAUCUUCUUUUUGCAAGGAGUAACUUGAAGCUCUUCCUCUUAGUGUGUUCAUGAUAGAAUUUGCAAAGUAAAUGGUGAAUAUUGAUCUGCUACAGCAAACAAA